UAUAACUGGAGAGUUUGAUCCUGGCUCAGAAUGAACGCUGGCGGCGUGCUUAACACAUGCAAGUCGAACGAGAAAGGGGUUGCUUGCAAUCCUGAGUAGAGUGGCGCACGGGUGAGUAACACGUAGAUAAUCUACCUUCAAGCCCGGGAUAACUGCCCGAAAGGACAGCUAAUACCGGAUGAAGUUGGUUCACACAAGUGAAUUAAUGAAAGAUUGCCUCUUCUUGAAAG
rnacentral:rRNA from 1 species